GGUCUCUGAGCCCACCGACCGCACCUGCUUGGUAUGACUCCGCACCCACCCUUGCCGCACUUGGAGUUGGCUGUGAUCUCUGGCCGCUCUGCAACCUUCCCAGUGGUUCCCUGAAUGCUGUCUCCCCUCUCUAACAAGCGUGAUCAGUGCGGCUCAGCCCUGCGGGUCCAGGCGGUCCUCUCCCAGCCUGGGAAGCAACCGUGCGGUCUUCCCGCCUCGGAAGCGUGCAGAUCCGGGAGCAGACUCCUCGCCGUUCUCGGCGCUGUCUCUGCCGCCCCCCCGCCCUUCUGCAGGUGCGUGGGGACGGCCGUCGUCUACGCGGCUCUGGCUUUCUGUUAUCUCUGCGUGUUUUGUACACGUGUGCCCGCUCGCUGAGGCCACGGUCAUCUACAAAGUUGCCGCUCUCGCUCACCGAACAGGGAGUGAGCCCCCCAUUUCCCACAGUAAUAAAUGCGGUUGCUGCGGCAGCACGUGUGCACGUUACUUUUUUUCUUUCGAUGCCCCUCCUUACCCGCACCCCUUGCAUCUAGAUCACCUCUGGUCUGCACGUGCUCGGUUCCCGCGAGCUGGUUUCACGGGCACCCCCCGAGCCGACCCUCGGUCUCUUCCCGCCUUGGUCACCCUCGCCACGGGCUGCUUUCCUACGGGCUCCUUAGUCCAGCCCUUAUUUCCUUAAGUCUUUUUUUCUAAAGGUUUUAUCUGUUCCUUUGACAGAGAGAGACACAGCGAGAGAGGGAACACAGCAGGGGGAGGGGGACAGGGAGAAGCAGGCUUCCCGCUGAGCAGGGAGCCCGAGGUGGGGCUGGAUCCCAGGACCCUGAUAUCAUAACCUGAGCCGAAGGCAGAUGCUUAGUGACUGAGCCCCCCAGGCGCCCCAUCCUUAACUCUCCUCUGAACCCACAUUUUACUUUAUUGUCUACGUGUCGAAUCCUUCUCCUUGAGACCAGAGAACCCCUCGGCCGGAAAUUGUUCUGCGGGGAGUGAGGCUUCUUGUCCCUCACAAAUGGGCUCACGGUCCAGGCAGGAUCGUGAUGAAAUUUAGUGCUUGGACAAGCCCACAUGGCCUUGUUGCCAAAGACAUCUCUGUUUUCGGUAAUCUGCGGCUUCUAAAGAUUGGGUUCCACAAUUCAUCCGAUGGUCCGGUUUUCUGGAGUAAAUCAA
rnacentral:lncRNA from 1 species